rnacentral:rRNA from 1 species
CCUACGGGUGGCAGCAGUGGGGAAUAUUGGGCAAUGGGCGCAAGCCUGACCCAGCAACGCCGCGUGAAGGAAGAAGGCUUUCGGGUUGUAAACUUCUUUUCGCAGGGACGAAGCAAGUGACGGUACCUGAGGAAGAAGCCACUGCUAACUACGUGCCAGCAGCCGCGGUAAUACGUAGGUGGCAAGCGUUAUCCGGAUUUACUGGGUGUAAAGGGAGUGUAGGCGGGGACGCAAGUCAGAUGAGAAAACCCAGGGCUCAACCUGUGGACUGCAUUUGAAACUGUGUUUCUUGAGUGCUGGAGAGGCAGACGGAAUUCCUAGUGUAGCGGUGAAAUGCGUAGAUAUUAGGAGGAACACCAGUGGCGAAGGCGGUUUGCUGGACAGCAACUGACGCUGAGGCGCGAAAGCGUGGGGAGCAAACAGGAUUAGAUACCCGUGUAGUC